AUUGAACGCUGGCGGCAUGCUUUACACAUUCAAGUCGAACGGUAACAGGCCUUCGGGUGCUGACGAGUGGCGAACGGGUGAGUAAUGCAUCGGAACGUACCCAGAGGUGGGGGAUAACGCAGCGAAAGCUGUGCUAAUACCGCAUGCGAUCUGAGGAUGAAAGCGGGGGACCGAGCAGCAAUGUUUGGCCUCGCGCCUUUGGAGCGGCCGAUGUCGGAUUAGCUAGUUGGUGGGGUAAAGGCCUACCAAGGCGACGAUCCGUAGCUGGUCUGAGAGGACGACCAGCCACACUGGGACUGAGACACGGCCCAGACUCCUACGGGAGGCAGCAGUGGGGAAUUUUGGACAAUGGGCGCAAGCCUGAUCCAGCAAUGCCGCGUGCGGGAAGAAGGCCUUCGGGUUGUAAACCGCUUUUGGCAGGAACGAAACGGUGUCCGCUAAUACCGGGCGCUAAUGACGGUACCUGCAGAAUAAGCACCGGCUAACUACGUG
rnacentral:rRNA from 1 species